rnacentral:rRNA from 1 species
AUUGAACGCUGGCGGCAGGCCUAACACAUGCAAGUCGAAAGUGUGGCGGACGGGUGAGUAAUGUCUGGGAAACUGCCCGAUGGAGGGGGAUAACUCCUGGAAAAGGUAGCUAAUACCGCAUAUCAUCGGAUGUGCCCCUAUGGGAUUAGCUCGUUGGUGGGGUAACGGCUCACCUAGGCGACGAUCCCUAGCUGGUCUGAGAGGAUGACCACCCACACUGGACCUGAGACACGGUCCAGACUCCUACGAGAGGCAGCAGUGGGGAAUAUGGGACAAUGGGCGCAAGCCUGAUGCAGCCAUGCCGCGUGUAUGAAGAAGGCCUUAGGGUUGUAAAGUACUUUCAGCGAGGAGGCGUUACCCGCAGAAGAAGCAUCGGCUAACUCCGUGCCAGCAGCCGCGGUAAUAC